rnacentral:rRNA from 1 species
GACGAACCGUGCGAACGUUGUUCGGAUUCACUGGGCUUAAAGGGCGCGUAGGCGGCUUGCCAAGUCAGGGGUGAAAUCUUUCGGCUCAACCGGAAAAGUGCUUCUGAUACUGGCAGGCUGGAGGGAGGUAGGGGCAGAUGGAACUUCCGGUGGAGCGGUGAAAUGCGUAGAUAUCGGAAGGAACGCCGGUGGCGAAAGCGAUCUGCUGGAUCUCUUCUGACGCUGAUGCGCGAAAGCCAGGGGAGCAAACAGG